rnacentral:rRNA from 1 species
UGAGGAAUAUUGGGCAAUGCCCGCAAGGGUGACCCAGCAACGCCGCGUGGAGGAUGAAUGUCGUAAGAUUGUAAACUCCUGUUAGAGGGGAAGAAUAGUACCGGUUGGACCGGUAUAUGACUGUACCCUCAGAGAAAGCCCCGGCUAACUACGUGCCAGCAGCCGCGGUAAUACGUAGGGGGCAAGCGUUGUCCGGAUUUACUGGGUGUAAAGGGCGCGCAGGCGGGAUAAAAAGUCAGUGGUGAAAUCCUACAGCUUAACUGUAGAACUGCCUUUGAUACUUUUAUUCUUGAGUUCGGGAGAGAGAGACGGAAUGCCAGGUGUAGUGGUGAAAUACGUAGAUAUCUGGAAGAACACCCGUUGCGAAGGCGGUCUCUUGGUCCGACACUGACGCUGAGGCGCGAAAGCGUGGGGAGCAAACA